rnacentral:rRNA from 1 species
GCCCAGAUCGUCGUCUAAGGUCCCUAAGCGUGUGCUAAGUGGGAAAGGAUGUGGAGUCGCAUGGACAGCCAGGAGGUUGGCUCAGAAGCAGCCAUUCCUUAAAAGAGUGCGUAACAGCUCACUGGUCGAGCAUCCGUGCGCAGACAAUGUAGCGGGGCUAAGCGUUAUACCGAAACUGCGGAUUCGUACUGUAAGGUACGGAUGGUAGGGGAGCAUUCCAUGAACUGAAGAAGAAGUACCUGUGAGGGGCUUUGGAGGGGAUGGAAGAGAGAAUGCAGGCAUAAGUAACGAAAAGACGGGUGAGAUUCCCGUCCGCCGAAAACCUAAGGUUUCCAGGGUAAAGGCAAUCUGCCCUGGGUAAGUCGGCCCCUAAGGUCAGGGAGAGAUCCGUAGCCGAUGGGAAUCCGGUUCAGAUUCCGGAACCUCGAUCAUAAGCGAAGCCGUGACGCAUGAGGUGAAAUCCUGCCGGAGAAUGGUAGUUCCGGUCGAAGCUUGCAAGCUGUUGAGGGAGGGGUUAAAUGACCUCCUGAGGUGAGCGGUGACAGGGAGGCGAGAGGAAACUUGAGCCGAAGAGGAAGUAAUCAAGGUGACGAGAAAUAGCGGCUGGCAGAGAUGAUUGGGACCGUACCGUAAACGGACACACGUAGGUGGGAUGAGAAAUCUAAGGCGCACGAGCGACCUCGCGUUAAGGAACUCGGCAAAAUGCACACGUAACUUCGGAAGAAGUGUGGCUCAUGUUUGAAAGGAUAAUGAGCGGCAGAAAGCAGGCCCAGGCGACUGUUUAUCAAAAACACAGCCAUCUGCGAACCAGCAAUGGGACGUAUAGGUGGUGACACCUGCCCGGUGCCGGAAGGUUAAGAGGAGAGGUUAACAGCAAUGUGAAGCUUUGAAUUGAAGCCCCGGUAAACGGCGGCCGUAACUAUAACGGUCCUAAGGUAGCGAAAUUCCUUGUCGGGUAAGUUCCGACCCGCACGAAUGGUGUAACGAUUCUGGGCACUGUCUCAACGCGAGACUCGGUGAAAUUUAUAUUCCGGUAAAGAAGCCGGAUACCCAUAAUUAGACGGAAAGACCCCGUGAACCUUCACCGUAACUUAACAUUGGGAUCCUGCCUGUCAUGUGUAGGAUAGCUGGGAGGCAGAGAUGCGUGUCCGUCAGGAUGCGCGGAGCCGCUGGUGAAAUACCAGUCUUGGCGGGCAGGAUUUCUAACUUGAGCCUUGAAGCAGGUUUAAGGACCGUGUUAGGCGGGCGGUUUGACUGGGGCGGUCGCCUCCAAAAAGGUAACGGAGGCGCGCGAAGGUCUCCUCACCGUGGUUGGAAAUCACGGCACGAGUGUAAAGGCACAAGGAGGCUUGACUGCGAGAAAGACAUUUCGAGCAGGUGCGAAAGCAGGUCUUAGUGAUCUGGCGAUACCGAGUGGAAGGGUCGUCACUUAACGGACAAAAGGUACUCCGGGGAUAACAGGCUGAUUUUCCCCAAGAGUUCACAUCGACGGGAAAGUUUGGCACCUCGAUGUCGGCUCAUCGCAUCCUGGGGCUGGAGCAGGUCCCAAGG